UACGAAGGGUGCAAACGUUGCUCGGAUUUAUUGGGCGUAAAGCGCUCGCAGGUGGUUCGUCGCGUCGUGCGUGAAAGACCCCGGCUCAACUGGGGAGGGUCGUGCGAUACGGGCGGACUGGAGGCCAGUAGGGGGAUGCGGAAUUCCGGGUGUAGUGGUGGAAUGCGUAGAGAUCCGGAGGAACACCAGCGGCGAAGGCGGCAUCCUGGACUGGUCCUGACACUCAUGAGCGAAAGCGUGGGGAGCGAUCCGG
rnacentral:rRNA from 1 species